GGGCUUGGGAGGCAGAAUCCCUCUGUGUCCUGAGCUUUAGGUUCCCCCGAGAUGACACGGAGCUUGGGCUGCCCAGGGCUGGAUGCUGUUCCUCCCGCUCAGGGCCCCAGCCUUUCCCCAGGAGCUCGACUACGCCACUGUGAUGGCAGCUGGGGGCACUGGACGGCUGAGCAGCUCCAAUUAGCUGAGUCCUCCCUACGGUCAGCCCCCAAGGAAGCUCGCUGGCCCGGCCACCUCAGGAGCUGCACUUGUCACCUGCAGAUGGAGGCUCAGGGAAGAAGUUGCCCCUGGGCCUGCACCGGCAUGACCUCUUUCCUCACACUUGACUCUCGGGGCCUGAGGUCGCACCACCGAGGGUCUGUUUGUUAUGAUUUCAAAAGUUCUCUCCAACAAUUCCACCUCGCUGGGGGGAGCUGUUAUUUAAACUCUUGAGAUGUAUUUACUUUUGGCCCAAGGUCAGGUGAUGAUGGUUUUCCACGGAAGCGAGCGCCAGGCCCAUCUGUUUAGACAAGUGUGUAUGGCGGGUGGGGCCGUGGGGCUGGUCCGGGACGUUCAGUCCAAACCGCCAGGGAGCGGACGGCCCAGGAAAAUAUCCGUAAACCCCGAGAGAUGCUUCGGAGGUCUCAGGCAGUGCAGGUGAAUCAGCAUGGACCAUGGCGAGCCCGCCUUCAUCCUUCUCCUGGGAGGACUCGUUCCUUAGAAGCGAACGGGGGCCUCCUCACCAGGGAAAUAAAAACCAAGCAAGGGGAAAGCACGGAAUGUGUGGAGCUUCCUGGGAGCCUUCUUCUGAGGCUGAAAGUGGCUCCCUGCCUGAGUUGGUCCAUGCGGGAAUCACAGGGAGAUGGUGGCUGGGCCUGUCAGGACCUUUCAGCCCACCUGGUGGACGGGGGUCCAUGAGGGUGGUGGGGGUGCAGGCGGGGUACACCUGGUGAUGCAGACACAGGCCCCUUCACACACACUCCUGAUGGAAACACUGAAAUAACCGCCUAUGGUUCCUGCUCACCAGCUACAGCUGCUGCACGUGCCCUGCUCAGCUCCCAGCUCAGCUCCGGGCUGCAGGUGGGCUGCAGCUCCGAUCCUCGUCCUCAUCUCCGUUGGCCCAUGGGCUGGCGAGGACACACGGCCACAGUGACACAGAGCACCAGGGGCCGACCUGGCUGCACCCACACACCCCAGCACUGCUUGUACCAAGUCCACCGACACCCACAGGCCCGAGCAAGUCACAUAGCAAAGCGCAAGGCCCAGGGCUCCGGAAGCCUCCCUGAGGCUACAGCACACCCCACCUGCCCCUGAGGCUGAGGGGCAAGGCCAAGGAGAGGGGCUGCCUCUGAGUGGGCCCUCCAUGCUGGCCAAUGAGUCAGAAAGGAGGACCGUACACCUUGCCAGUGGGAAGAUGCCGCGCUCUGCCUUUGCGCUGCUCUGUACCUCAGCGUCCCUCCAGCUAACUCAGGAGACACAUCCUGGCUUUCCCUCCACCUAUUUGGAAAGGGAGCUCGCUGGGCCAGCCAGGAAAACGCAGUGGGAUUUGAUUCUGCGCAGCCCCGUCCUGGGGGUGCCCCAGGAAGAAGUGCUGUGCCAGCACUGACCGACCAGUUCUAGACUCAGCCUGGCUUCUGCGUCCACUCAAGGGAGAUGGGUUUGUGUCGGCAGAGAGGGCCUCUCCCUAGGUUACCUUACCUUGCUCUGUUUUGGGGGAUCCCUCACCUGGCUCUGUUUUGGGGGAUCCCUCACCUGGCUCUGUUUUGGAUGCAGAGCCCUUGAUGAGGUGGGUUGUUUGAGGGGUGGACCUGGGGAUUUGACCCAAACUUCCUAAUCCGCCAGAGCCCUCGUUGACUCAGCAGCCUCCACCCCCAGGCUUCUCUGUGCAGGCAGAGCCCGGCCCGGCCUGGAGAGCUCA
rnacentral:lncRNA from 1 species